rnacentral:rRNA from 1 species
UUAAAUGAGAGUUUGAUCCUGGCUCAGGACGAACGCUGGCGGCGUGCCUAAUACAUGCAAGUAGAACGCACAGUUUAUACCGUAGCUUGCUACACCAUAGACUGUGAGUUGCGAACGGGUGAGUAACGCGUAGGUAACCUGCCUGGUAGCGGGGGAUAACUAUUGGAAACGAUAGCUAAUACCGCAUAAUAUUAAUUAUUGCAUGAUAAUUGAUUGAAAGAUGCAACUGCAUCACUACCAGAUGGACCUGCGUUGUAUUAGCUAGUAGGUGAGGUAACGGCUCACCUAGGCGACGAUACAUAGC